CAAACUUGUAGCAUCAUACCAAGAUGACUCAAGGCUGUAAUCACUGCCAAAGGUGCUUCAACAAAAUACUGAUAAUUGGGUCUGAAUACUUUCUGAAUGUACUGUAUACAAAAGUAUGUGGACAGGCUGUAAUCACUGCCAAAGGUGCUUCAACAAAAUACUGAGUAAAGGGUCUGAAUACUUAAUACUUACUUUAAAUUUGAUAGCUCUUUUUUUUUUUUUUUUUUUUUUUUUUUUGCCCACCAAAAAUGUAACGUGUUUUUGCUUUGUCUUUAUGCCAUAUUGUGUGUAGAUUGAAGUUUUUUUUAAAGUACAUUUUAGAAUAAGGCUGUGUGUCACGCCCUGGCCAUAGAGAGGCUUUUAUUCUCUAUUUUGGUUAGGCCAGGGUGUGACUAGGGUGGGCAUUCUAUGUUCAUUUUCUAUGUUUUGUAUUUCUUUGUUGUGGUUCUCAAUCAGAGGCGGCUGUCUAUCGUUGUCUCUGAUUGAGAACCAUACUUAGGUAGCUUUUUCCCACUGGGUUUUUGUCGUUAGUUGUUUUCUGUUUUUGUGUCUACACCAGACAGAACUGUUUUGGUUAUUCCCUUUGUUAUUUUUGUAUUUAGUGUUCAGUGUCAAUAAAAUAACAUGAACCACGCUGUGCUUUGGUCCUCACCUUCUUCCACCAAUGGCCGUUACACUGUGAUAUAACAAAAUGUGGAAAAAGUCAAGAGGUCUGAAUACUUUCUGAAUGCACUGCAGCAGAAUGAUUGAAUUAGCAUUAUUUAGGAACCCCCCAUCCAUUUGAGGGGACUCAUGUCCAGUGGCGACCUGUCUUUCAGGGCCACACCUGUUUAGCUGUUUUGCAUGUAAUUUCGGCAUUCAUUUGUGUUCCAUAUCAGUUUGCAAACGAUGUACAAACAAAAUUAUCCCUGACUUAAUAAAGCCCCAUACAAAUAUGGUAUUUUUCUUGAGUCAGACAGCUCCAAAUUGCAUGUGUUUUAGCCUAGCUCCGUGCUUUCUGU
ensembl:lncRNA